AACCUCCGCAAUGUGAGAAAUCGCGACGGGGGGAUCCCAAGUGCCAUUCUUAACGGGAUGGCUUUUCUUAAGUGUAAAAAGCUUUUGGAAUAAGAGCUGGGCAAGACCGGUGCCAGCCGCCGCGGUAACACCGGCAGCUCUAGUGGUAGCUGUUUUUAUUGGGCCUAAAGCGUUCGUAGCCGGUUUGAUAAGUCACUGGUGAAAUCCUGUAGCUUAACUGUGGGAAUUGCUGGUGAUACUGUUGAACUUGAGGUCGGGAGAGGUUAGCGGUACUCCCAGGGUAGAGGUGAAAUUCUGUAAUCCUGGGAGGACCGCCUGUUGCGAAGGCGUCUAACUGGAACGGUUCUGACGGUGAGGGACGAAAGUUAGGGGCGCGAACCGGAUUAGAUACCCGGGUAGUCCUAACUGUAAACGAUGCGGACUUGGUGUUGGGUGGCUUUGAGCUGCUCCAGUGCCGAAGGGAAGCUGUUAAGUCCGCCGCCCGGGAAGUACGGUCGCAAGACUGAAACUUAAAGGAAUU
rnacentral:rRNA from 1 species